ACGUAGGUGGCAAGCGUUGUCCGGAAUUAUUGGGCGUAAAGCGCGCGCAGGCGGCUUCUUAAGUCCAUCUUAAAAGUGCGGGGCUUAACCCCGUAAUGGGAUGGAAACUGGGAGGCUGGAGUAUCGGAGAGGAAAGUGGAAUUCCUAGUGUAGCGGUGAAAUGCGUAGAGAUUAGGAAGAACACCGGUGGCGAAGGCGACUUUCUGGACGACAACUGACGCUGAGGCGCGAAAGCGUGGGGAGCAAACAG
rnacentral:rRNA from 1 species